GUCGUCCGUUUUAUUUUUAUUUUCUAAAUGUUUGUUUGUUUAUUAUUUUGUACAUUUUAUUUAUUAUUGUACCUUUUAUUUAUUAUUGUUCGUUUUAUCAGCGUAUGGAUAACUGGUUUUGGUUAUUAGAUUUAGUUUAAGAUACGUUUCAAUAUGCAUUUUUCAUUGUCAACGCACCUUCCUUUGGUUUUAGUGUAACUGUCUAAUUAAUUUCUAUUGGGAGACAUUGAUUUAUUUCAAGUGUUUCUUAACGAUUUCCCCAAUGUUCCUGUUUCUUUUGAAUGCUAUUGUGGGUUUUUUAUCAAAGAGAUUUUUGAACUGUGGGUUGUCUUGAAUUAAAUGCCAAUGUUUUCUUAUAAUGGUUUGUAAAUUUUCCGCAUUAGCGUGGUAUUGUGUUAUGAAAGAUAUAUUAUAGUUAUCUGUGUUUUUGUUUAUUCUUGUUUCUUUGUUUGUUAAUUUGUUUAAUCUUUCUGUAUGGGAAAUAUUUCUUAAUAUUUUAUUUACAAAAGCGAUUUUGUAACCUCUUUGUAUUAAUUUUUCUGUAAAUAAGUUUAUUCUUUCAUUAAAAUUGUCAGGAUCAGAGGUAUUUCUAAGAAUUCGUAUUC
rnacentral:lncRNA from 1 species